UAUUAUUAAGUGUGUUAGCACAUAAAAAUUUGAUUUUUAAAGACUUUAAAUCAAUUAAAU
rnacentral:tRNA from 1 species